GUGAAACGGAACAAAUAGGAGAACAGAUUGUGAGGGAAACAGAACACGUGGAAGAACAGGCCAUAAGGGAAGCCAUCACACAAGGCUACACACACACACACACACACACACACAUGCAUAAAUACAUACAUGCACAUCAUGAGAAAAUAUUAUGAGGCAAGAUAUCACAAGACAACACACACACACUCUUGUCUUCCCCUCCAGCUUGGCUUCCCUUGCUUCGUUUUCUAUGACACUUUCAAGGUCGCUGGGUAUCCGGGGCUUUAAACCUGGGGACAUGGUGGCUAGAAAUGACGCGACGAGGCCUUUUAAACAUUUAAACAUGGCGCAGGGGGCGGGGGAGGAGGAGGUGGAGGAAACUUUAGAGGGGACGAUGACGGGGAGGAGGAGGAGAAGGAAGAGGAGGAUACGUGUGUGUGUGUGUGUGUGUGUGUGUGUGUGUGUGUGUGUGUUUGAGUGUGUGUGUGUGUGUGUUUGAGUGUGUGUGUGUGUGUGUGUGUGUGUGUGUGUGUUUAGGAGCGGAGACAAGCAGUAAGGGAGAGAGAGAAUGCUUUAGACAGAUGCACAAUGUCUUCAAUAAGUACGUAACAGAGAGAGAGAGAGAGAGAGAGAGAGAGAGAGAGAGAGAGAGAGAGAGAGAGAGAGAGAGAGAGAGAGAGAGAGAGAGAGAGAUCUAUACAGCAAGGUCUAACAAUAGGUACAUCCAACCCGCCUGAAAGGAAGGAUUAACAUAACCUAACCUUACUCACCUACACACCUAUGACAAAAUUAAUUCUUGCUCAAAUGUUUUUGGGGAAAAUUCAUAAGUGGGCAACAAUUAAAUGACUGUCCAGGGAUGGGGAUUCCAACCCUGGCUGGCAGAUUCAUAGGUAGGCAUGCUAACCACUACACCAUGGAGCCCUAAGAAUUCGCCACACUAUACCAGGACAAAUAAUUCUUAGUGUGUGCCCUGGUAAGAUUCAAAUGUGCAGCCCUGGUAGUGAGUAAGUGUAUGGGGAUUGGUGAGUAAGUUUAUGGGCACAAGUAAGUUAUGGGCAUUGGUGAGUAAGUUUUGGGGGCAGGUGAGUAAUUUCAUGGGCUCAGGUGAAUAAGUUUAUGGGCAUUGGUAAGUAAGUUUAUGGGCACAAGUAAGUUAUGGGCAUUGGUGAGUAAGUUUUGGGGGCAAGGUGAGUAAGUUUGUUUGCACAAAUGAGUAAGUUAUGGGAGAGAGAGAGAGAGAGAGAGAGAGAGAGAGAGAGAGAGAGAGAGAGAGAGAGAGAUAGAGAGAGAGAGAGAGAGAGAGAGAGAGAGAGAGAGAGAGAGAGAGAGAGAGAGAGAGAGAGAGAGAGAGAGAGAGAGAGAGAGAGAGAGAGAGAGAGAGAGAGAGAGAGAGAGAGAGAGAGAGAGAGAGAGAGAGAGAGAGAGAGAGAGAGAGAGAGAGAUAUCUAUACAGCAAGGUCUAACAAUAGGUACAUCCAACCCGCCUGAAAGGAAGGAUGAACAUAACCUAACCUUACUCACCUACAUACCUAUGACAAAAUUAAUUCUUGCUCAAAUGUUUUUGGGGAAAAUUCAUAAGUGGGCAACAAUUAAAUGACUGUCCAGGGAUGGGGAUUCCAACCCUGGCUGGCAGAUUCAAAGGUAGGCAUGCUAACCACUACACCAUGGAGCCAUAAGAAUUAGCCACACUAUACCAGGACAAAUAAUUCUUAGUGUGUGCCCUGGUAAGAUUCAAAUGUGCAGCCCUGGUAGUGAGUAAGUGUAUGGUGAUUGGUGAGUAAGUUUAUGGGCACAAGUAAGUUAUGGGCAUUGGUGAGUAAGUUUUGGGGGCAGGUGAGUAAUUUCAUGGGCUCAGGUGAAUAAGUUUAUGGGCAUUGGUAAGUAAGUUUAUGGGCACAAGUAAGUUAUGGGCAUUGGUGAGUAAGUUUUGGGGGCAAGGUGAGUAAGUUUGUUUGCACAAAUGAGUAAGUUAUGAGAGAGAGAGAGAGAGAGAGAGAGAGAGAGAGAGAGAGAGAGAGAGAGAGAGAGAGAGAGAGAGAGAGAGAGAGAGAGAGAGAGAGAGAGAGAGAGAGAGAGAGAGAGAGAGAGAGAGAGAGAGAGAGAGAGAGAGAGAGAGAGAGAGAGAGAGAUCUAUACAGCAAGGUCUAACAAUAGGUACAUCCAACCCGCCUGAAAGGAAGGAUGAACAUAACCUAACCUUACUCACCUACAUACCUAUGACAAAAUUAAUUCUUGCUCAAAUGUUUUUGGGGAAAAUUCAUAAGUGGGCAACAAUUAAAUGACUGUCCAGGGAUGAUGAUUCCAACCCUGGCUGGCAGAUUCAAAGGUAGGCAUGCUAACCACUACACCAUGGAGCCAUAAGAAUUAGCCACACUAUACCAGGACAAAUAAUUCUUAGUGUGUGCCCUGGUAAGAUUCAAAUGUGCAGCCCUGGUAGUGAGUAAGUGUAUGGUGAUUGGUGAGUAAGUUUAUGGGCACAAGUAAGUUAUGGGCAUUGGUGAGUAAGUUUUGGGGGCAGGUGAGUAAUUACAUGGGCUCAGGUGAAUAAGUUUAUGGGCAUUGGUAAGUAAGUUUAUGGGCACCAGUAAGUUAUGGGCAUUGGUGAGUCAGUUUUGGGGGCAGGUGAGUAAGUUCAUGGGCAUUGGUGAGUAAGUUUUGGGGGCAAGGUGAGUAAGUUUAUGGGCAUUGGUGAGUAAGUUUUGGGGGCAGGUGAGUAAGUUCAUGGGCUCAGGUGAGUAAGUUUAUGGGCAUUGGUGAGUAAGUUUAUGGGCACAAGUGAGUAAGUUAUGGAUAUAGGUGAGUAAGUUUUGGGGGCAAGGUGAGUA